rnacentral:rRNA from 1 species
GACGAACGCUGGCGGCGUGCUUAACACAUGCAAGUCGAACGGAAAGGCCCUGCUUUUGUGGGGUGCUCGAGUGGCGAUCGGGUGUGUAACACGUGAGUAACCUGCCCUUGACUUUGGGAUAUCUUCAGGAAACUGGGGCUAAUACCGGAUAGGUGCUCCUGCUUCAUGGUGGGCGUUGGAAUGUUUCGGCGGUUGGGGAUGGACUCGCCGCUUAUCAGCUUGUUGGUGGUGUAGUGGCUUACCAAGUCUUUGACGGGUAGCCGGCCUGAGAGGGUGACAGGGCACAGUGGGACUGAGAGAGGGCCAAGACUCAGACGGGAGGGAGAAGUGGGAAAUAUGACACAAGGAGAGGAAGCCAGAUGCAGCAACGGCGCGGGCGGGAGGACGGGCAGCGGGUUGGAAACCGAAAACGCCUGUGACGAAGAGAGAGUGACGGUAAUGGAUAAAGAAGGACCGGCUAACUACGUG